rnacentral:rRNA from 1 species
AGUGAACGCUGGCGGUAGGCCUAACACAUGCAAGUCGAACGGCAGCACAGGAGAGCUUGCUCUCUGGGUGGCGAGUGGCGGACGGGUGAGGAAUACAUCGGAAUCUACUUUUUCGUGGGGGAUAACGUAGGGAAACUUACGCUAAUGCCGCAUACGACCUACGGGUGAAAGCAGGGGACCUUCGGGCCUUGCGCGAUUGAAUGAGCCGAUGUCGGAUUAGCUAGUUGGCGGGGUAAAGGCCCACCAAGGCGACGAUCCGUAGCUGGUCUGGGAGGAUGAUCAGCCACACUGGAACUGGGACACGGUCCAGACUCCUACGGGAGGCAGCAGUGGGGAAUAUUGGACAAUGGGCGCAAGCCUGAUCCAGCCAUACCGCGUGGGUGAAGAAGGCCUUCGGGUUGUAAAGCCCUUUUGUUGGGAAAGAAAUCCAGCUGGCUAAUACCCGGUUGGGAUGACGGUACCCAAAGAAUAAGCACCGGCUAACUUCGUGCCAGCAGCCGCCGUAA